UAAAAAAUGUGAAGACAAGAAGUACUAAAGAAUUGAAAUGGUUAAAAGACAAGAUGAAAAUUACUAUCCCAGUGAACCUGAAGUCAUUUCCUUGCAAUAAUCUGGCAUCUCAGGAGUCUGUCCUUUUCAGGGAGAGGCAUUUAGACAAGGAGGAAUGGCUGCUUCAGCCCUGACAGAGCGUCAAGGUGAUACAUGGGAAGCACCCAGAGCGGUGCUGUCACAAUCGUCAUUACCAGGGACCGUUUGGAGAAGUGGAUGCUGGCGACGUUGCAGCAGGAUCUCUCACACCUCUCAGCACCGGUGCUGCUCCCUAAAGUGCUGCAUCCACAGGACUCUGCUCUUCAAGAGAGGGUCUCCGUGAAGGAGAGGAUAACCACCGCACUUCCUGAAGGCAUGAACACUGCCAAGACUUCGCCCUUCUUCCCGAGGCCUUGUCAGUAAGAAAGUGUUUGCUGUUUCAGCAAUCGGUAACAUUCCAAGACGUGGCCAUUGACUUCUCCCAAGAAGAAUGGGGAUUCCUGAUCCCUGCUCAGAGAAAAUUGUACACGGCUGUGAUGUCGGAGAAUUAUCAGAACCUCGUCUGGCUAGAGAGUGAAUCAAUAUGGGAGAGCAAGGAAUAAUGUCUAAGGAAGGGUAUAAAACAGGAAACAGUCCAACAUGAAAUAGUGAUGAAAAGAACAAGCAACACAUGUAAAGAAUAUGCCAAACCUUC